rnacentral:piRNA from 1 species
UAUUGUUUUUCGUGAUCUAGU